AGAAGCAAUAUGGGAGACUUUCUUAAUAACUGGGAGAAGACACCCGCUUGCCCUGCUGUCUGCCUCAUUCACAUCCUUUCCUUUGCUUUCCUUCUUCUGAGGGAAAAAAAAAAAAGCCAAUUACUGAGUGAGGACAUGAAUUUUUCAUUGACCUUCUGUAAUUCUCUACAAAGCUGAGGAGCUUGAAGAGUAAUGAAAUGAGAUUUCUUCAAAGAACAAAUGAAAGAGAGAAGAAGACUGCCUGAACCAAAAGCCUAGUGAGAAGAGGGCGUUGUCAAGGGCUUGCUUUCAGGGCAAGGGAAGGACAGAGCUCCUCUGGGAUGAGGAGAGACAAGAAGAGACAGCUGGAGCAUGGCUGCAGGGAUGGACAGCUAUAGGAGGGGUGACUUUUCUUCUGGGCCCUCUGUGGAAGGAAAGAAGACACAAGUUUGGUCAGCAAGAAGGAGGGAUAGCAUCCCAAAGCCAGUUGAAAUGCAGUACUCUUCUCUACCCUUGGACGCCCGAGUGGGAGGGAGAAGCCAGUGGGACCAGGCACUCUUUGCAGAAAGGUCCUGCUGGCUCAUGGCUCCAGUGGAAAUAUCUCAUGUCUGCAGCUGAUCUGCUAUGUACUACUGGGCAUGGGACAGUUGUCUGCUCUGCAAGUUCCUCCAUAUGCCCUGUUGAGAGACACUUCUGCCAUCUCUGAGAGAAGACUUCGUCCAAAGAUCAUCAUCAGCAGCUGCCAUUAAAGUAUGGGAGACCUCAGAAGGAAGCUGAGUAGGUCCCAAUUGCCUUUGUGUUGACAGCAUAGUCUGCUCUGUUGCCCUUGAUCUCUGUUGUGUGGUACUGAUAUGGAGUCUUCUCAGAGCGCGAGUAAACUCUGCUUCUUUUAAAGAUGAUGGUGAAACUCUUUUUGGCUGAGGUGAAUGCAGAGGCAUAUCUCUGGGCAAUAGACCUGGAUGCAAUUGGCCUCCAUUAAUUUAGGUGGUGAGGUAAUACCUGGGGAUUGGUGGAGUGGUAUGUGGAAGGAAGUGCCAUGUGAUUACUCAGAGCUGCAUGGGGCCAGCAGGUCAGUUCAGUGUACCCAUACAAGGGAUGGAUCUAGGAUGGGAUGUCAUUCCUCUGUGACCUGUUCUGGGAUUUCUGGGGCAGGGAGUGGCAAUUUCAUUCCAGACCUGGAGCUGUGAUUGCCACUCUUCCAUCUCCCUUCACUGAUGCCCCCUAAUUUUGCUUGGGAUAUGUAGACUAAAGGUGCCAAGUCCUGUGAAAGGAUGAGAGAGUCGUGAGGGUGAGCACUGAGUGAAUUGUGGUUGGUCAGAGGGAAACUGGAGACAUGGGACUAUUCCUUUCCAUGGGUUGUGUUUGCCAGAUGAAGGAACGACAGUAAACUGUGACAGAUCCCUAGCUGUGAAGGGCUGGCAGAUCACCUGCUCCACAUGGUGCUCCCACCAACAUCCCAUAACAAACUUCACACUGACAGUCACAGCUAUAAUGUGUGAACAAAGACAACAGGGCAGAAAAAGGAAAUCUAAGACCCCUGCAAACAGGUCUGAGCUGUGCAUACAUGAGUAAUAGUUUUCUAUGUGGAGCACUAAACGCCCUUGGGAGUUUCUAGCAC
ensembl:lncRNA